rnacentral:tRNA from 1 species
GACCCCAUCGUCUAGUGGUCUAGGACAGCUGGUUUUCAGCCAGCAAAUCGGGGGUUCGAAUCCCCCUGGGGUCACAA